GAAAGAAAGUUGAAGUGAAGCGGACGUAAUCAAGGUGCCGGGAAAUAGUGGCUAGGGAAGGUAUAUAAGACCGUACCGGAAACCGACACAGGUAGGAAGGAUGAGUAAUCUAAGGCGCACGAGCGACCUCGCGUUAAGGAACUCGGCAAAAUGCGCACGUAACUUCGGAAGAAGUGCGGCUCCUGUUUGAAAGAAUUGGGAGUGACACAAAGCAGGCCCAGGCGACUGUUUAUCAAAAACACAGCCAUCUGCGAAUCAGUAA
rnacentral:rRNA from 1 species